AAUGUUAUGUCUGAUUAAAGUAAUAAAUUGUAAAUUUAUUUAAGAAAAAAAAUUUUUUCUAACGUUA
rnacentral:tRNA from 1 species